GUACUUGCUUUGGCAGCACAUAUACUAAAAUUGGAAGGAUACAGAGAUUAGUAUGGCCCCUGUGCAAAGAUGACAUGCAAAUUCAUGAAGCAUUCCAUAUUUUU
ensembl:snRNA U6 U6 spliceosomal RNA